GACAAACGCUGGCGGCAUGCCUAACACAUGCAAGUCGAACGGACAGAACAGGGAAGCUUUUCGGAGUGGAACUGGAAAGUUAGUGGCGGAUGGGUGAGUAACGCGUGGACAACCUACCUUGUAAAGGGGAAUAACCUCGAGAAAUCGAAGCUAAUACCCCAUAAUAACCUUGCUUCGCAUGAAGUAAGGAGGAAAGGCUGCCUUAGCGCUGUCGAUACAAGAUGGGUCCGCGUCUGAUUAGCUAGUUGGUGAGGUAAAGGCUCACCAAGGCGACGAUCAGUAGCCGGCCUGAGAGGGUGAACGGCCACAUUGGGACUGAGACACGGCCCAAACUCCUACGGGAGGCAGCAGUGGGGAAUCUUCCGCAAUGGGCGAAAGCCUGACGGAGCAAUGCCGCGUGAGUGAAGAAGGCCUUCGGGUUGUAAAACUCUGUCCUUAUCGAAGAGAGAGUGUUGUAGUAACUGACAAUACUAGGACGGUAGAUGAGGAGGAAGCCCCGGCUAACUAUGUG
rnacentral:rRNA from 1 species